AGGCCGCCCGGGAUGAGCUAAUAAUGGAAGCAAUUUGUAACUUUCAGUAGCUCUCUAGGCCUGGGUACCGAAGGGUGGGAGGCGGGCGGAGGUGGGGAAAUGGGUGCCCCCCAGUCCUUCCACCCUCCUCAUUCGUUCUGGGCAGCGGGAUCCCCGAAUCCUCCUUUCCCCCAACACGCAGGCACUCGCAGAGUCCCGCACCCACUUCUGUCCGGCAGCCGCUGCUCCAGAGCAAGAUCCGCCUCUGCUGACUUUGUCCGUUCCUCUGAGGGAAACAGCCGAACUCGGCAGAAGUAACACUGCCACGGCUCCUCCCCGCUCGGUCCCCAGCUCCGUCGUCACAUUGACAUUCUGGGCACAUUCGGCCCAGCCCCCGUAACCGCUUCUCCCAAAGAACCUCCGAGCUGGACAAUCCAUCUCCCGGCUGCCAGGUGUGGCCAGAGGGGGAUGUGAGCCAAGUAAUGUCAUCAGAGCCUUAAGACGUUGGCUCGCAGAAUCUUAGUUCCCCAACCAGCGAUUGAACCCGGGCCACGGCAGUGAAAGCACCGUGUCCUAAGCACUGGACUGCCAGGUGAGGAAACUGAGGCACAGUCGUGAAGCAUCUUACCCAAGGUCACACAGACGGCAAAUGGCCGGGCAGGGAUUACGAAGCCAGCCGCCCAGCACGGAGUCUGUGGGUCAUCGCUCCGCCAGGGGCUCCAGCCGGGAAUACCACAGACGGUUUGCCAUGGAUCAAGACUCCUCUGGAGAAAGCUCACAGGAAGGCUGCUGUGAGAAAUGAAGUCCCUUGCUGUUUCCCCGAUUUCCUCAUCAAGAGGCGCCAAAUGAAGUCACUGCACGUUUGAACGGGGGCCAUCAAAGCGCGGCCUCUGACCAGUUCAGAGGCAGACGUGGGCUUGGGCAGCCGGUGACUGAACGGCGGCGGCAUGGAAAAUCUGAGGUGGUGGAUAGUUGAAAUAAAGCUCCUGUAGGAGGGUUAUGUGUGCUUCACUCAACAGUGCUCCCCGACGGGGGCCCAGGGUGUACACCUGAGCUGUGAAUAGGCUUGUUCAUUUACCGAUUAGCCCCUUAUUUAUUCAGUAAGUUCUGAUUAUGUACUUAAGAGGCACCAUGCUAGGUGUAUAGGAUGGACAAGACAAAAUCCCCACCCCACAGGGGCUACAGUCUAGAGAGAGGAGGCCGGAGCAAGAUUACAGUGAUCUGUACCAAGUACUGAGUAGUCUCGUGUCACCACUUGACAUCACUACCCCUCAGAGCCGCCCUCCUCCUGGCCUCUCCCUAUGCUCAGCGUAGCCCCCUUCCCUCCAGCUUCUUUCUGCCUGGAUCCCAUCUUCCUUCUGAGCUGGGUCGCUGUUGGGCUGCAGGCAGUGACAAAGGUGGCAAUAAAGCAGCAGAGUUAAGGCCUCAGUGUCCUAAGGGAAUCCCAGGUGGAGCGGGCCGGUGAUUUUGUUUGCCGCCUCCGUUCUCUGGGCCACCCUGGCCCUGGAGGCUGCCCUGUGCAGACGGCAUCACCUGGGCUCCUGACUUCCCAUCUGUGGUCUGGCUUGGCCAGCAGGUGUCCUGGCAGGGAGGGGAGAGAGGAGCCAAGGUACUUGUCUCCCUGUCCCCUGCCUGCCUCUCCGCCACCGGCCUGCCUGAAGUCCUGGCAGGGGUUGUGGUUCCCCAGUGGCCCCGGCUUUGCUGGGUGGCUGCUCUCCCCGACCCCAGUUUUGUUGGCACCAUUUCAACCCUUUUGGUACCUCAUCAGCCCUUAACGGUUCCCUUAAUUCCAACUAUGCCUUGAAAAUUGUCAUGUCAUUAAAGUCUCUUCAGUGGA